UACGGAGGGUGCAAGCGUUAUCCGGAUUCACUGGGUUUAAAGGGCGCGUAGGCGGUCACGCACGUCCGUUGUGAAAUCGCUCGGCUCAACUGGGCGGGGUCAGCGGAUACGGCGUGGCUGGAGCAAGCUAGGGGGCAAUGGAAUUCCCGGUGUAGUGGUGGAAUGCGUAGAUAUCGGGAGGAACACCAGUGGCGAAGGCGGUUGCCUGGAGCUUUGCUGACGCUGAUGCGCGAAAGCGUGGGGAGCGAGUCCGG
rnacentral:rRNA from 1 species